rfam:Arabidopsis lyrata subsp. lyrata unplaced genomic scaffold ARALYscaffold_1, whole genome shotgun sequence.
GUCCCUACGGAGACAUCAGAUAAAAUUGGAACGAUAAAGAGAAGAUUAGCAUGGCCCCU